rnacentral:misc_RNA from 1 species
GAUGAAGAACGUAGCGAAAUGCGAUACUUGGUGUGAAUUGCAGAAUCCCGUGAACCAUCGAGUCUUUGAACGCAAGUUGCGCCCGAAGCCAUCAGGUUGAGGGCACGUCUGCCUGGGCGUCACAUAUCGUUGCCCAAUGCCUAUUGCAGUGCAAUAGGAAUUUCUAGGGCGAAUGAUGGCUUCCCGUGAGCGUUGUUGCCUCGCGGUUGGUUGAGAAUCGAGUCCUUGGUAGGGUGUGCCAUGGUAGAUGGUGGUCGAGUUAGAACGAUACCGAUCAUGUGCAUGCUCCCCAAAAUAUGGCCUCUAUGACCCACACGCGUCUUUUGACGCUCAUGACGAGCCCUCAGGUCAGGCGGGGCUACCCGCUGAAUUUAAGCAUAUCAAUAAGCGGAGGA